rnacentral:rRNA from 1 species
UACGUAGGGAGCGAGCGUUGUCCGGAAUCAUUGGGCGUAAAGAGCAUGUAGGUGGAUCAAUUAGUCUGCUGUGAAAGUCAAAGGCUCAACCUUUGAAAGCCGGUGGAUACUGUUGAUCUAGAGUACGGAAGAGGCGAGUGGAAUUCCUGGUGUAGCGGUGGAAUGCGCAGAUAUCAGGAGGAACACCUAUUGCGAAGGCAGCUCGCUGGGACGUAACUGACGCUGAGACGCGAAAGCGUGGGGAGCAAACAGG